CCUACGGGUGGCAGCAGUGGGGAAUAUUGCACAAUGGGCGAAAGCCUGAUGCAGCAACGCCGCGUGAGCGAUGAAGGCCUUCGGGUCGUAAAGCUCUGUUCUCAAGGAAGAUAAUGACGGUACUUGAGGAGGAAGCCCCGGCUAACUACGUGCCAGCAGCCGCGGUAAUACGUAGGGGGCUAGCGAUAUCCGGAAUUACUGGGCGUAGAGGGUGCGUAGGUGGUUUCAUGAGUCAGAGGUGAAAGGCUACGGCUCAGCCGUAGUGAGCCUUUGAUACUGGGAAACUUGAGGGCAGGAGAGGGGAGUGGAAUUCCUGGUGUAGCGGUGAAAUGCGUAGAUAUUAGAAAGAACACCGAUUGCGAAGGCGGCUCUCUGGACUGUGACUGACGCUGAGGCACGAAAGCGUGGGGAGCAAACAGGAUUAGAUACCCCAGUAGUC
rnacentral:rRNA from 1 species